rnacentral:rRNA from 1 species
UGGAAGUAAAAGUCGUAACAAGGUUUCCGUAGGUGAACCUGCGGAAGGAUCAUUAGAGAAUAUUACUAUUACACGUAUGAUUUUUUGUCUCGGUGGCUUGCCGCCGAGGAGCAACACAACAACAUAACUUGUCAACACACAAAUAUCAAAACUUUCAACAACGGAUCUCUUGGUUCUCGCAUCGAUGAAGAACGCAGCGAAAUGCGAUAAGUAAUAUGAAUUGCAGCCUUUGUGAAUCAUCGAAUCUUUGAACGCACAUUGCGCCUUGGGGUAUUCCCCAAGGCAUGCCUGUUUGAGCGUCAGACUCCCUCAGCCCCCCGGGCUGGCAGUGAGUGCACGCCCGUCCACUCGAAACGUUUUGCCACGCAUGUCUAGGACUACCCACUCAUGCGGCGGCCCACGCCUUUCGACCUCAAAUCAGGUAGGACUACCCGCUGAACUUAAGCAUAUCAAUAAGGCGGAGGAA